GAUGAACGCUGGCGGCGUGCCUAAUACAUGCAAGUCGAGCGAACAGACGAGGAGCUUGCUCCUCUGACGUUAGCGGCGGACGGGUGAGUAACACGUGGAUAACCUACCUAUAAGACUGGGAUAACUUCGGGAAACCGGAGCUAAUACCGGAUAAUAUAUUGAACCGCAUGGUUCAAUAGUGAAAGACGGUUUUGCUGUAACUUAUAGAUGGAUCCGCGCCGCAUUAGCUAGUUGGUAAGGUAAAGGCUUACCAAGGCAACGCUGCGUAGCCGACCUGAGAGGGGGAUCGGCCACACUGGAGCUGAGACACGGUCCAGACUCCUACGGGAGGCAGCAGUAGGGAAUCUUCCGCAAUGGGCGAAAGCCUGACGGAGCAACGCCGCGUGAGUGAUGAAGGUCUUCGGAUCGUAAAACUCUGUUAUUAGGGAAGAACAAAUGUGUAAGUAACUAUGCACGUCUUGACGGUACCUAAUCAGAAAGCCACGGCUAACUACGUG
rnacentral:rRNA from 1 species